UCAGUCGACUCCUACGGGGAGGCAGCAGUGGGGGAAUAUUGCACAAUGGGCGCAAGCCUGAUGCAGCCAUGCCGCGUGUAUGAAGAAGGACCUUCGGGUUGUAAAGUACUUUCAGCAGUGAGGAAGGUGGGGUAUGUUAAUAGCAUACUCAUUUGACGUUAGCUGCAGAAGAAAGCACCGGCUAACUCCGUGCCAGCAGCCGCGGUAAUACGGAGGGUGCGAGCGUUAAUCGGAAUUACUGGGCGUAAAGCGCAUGCAGGUGGUUUGUUAAGUCAGAUGUGAAAGCCCGGGGCUCAACCUCGGAAUUGCAUUUGAAACUGGCAAACUAGAGUACUGUAGAGGGGGGUAGGAAUUUCAGGUGUAGCGGUGAAAUGCGUAGAGAUCUGAAGGAAUACCGGUGGCGAAGGCGGCCCCCUCGGACAGAUACUGACACUCAGAUGCGAAAGCGUGGGGAGCAAACAGGAUUAGAUACCCUGGUAG
rnacentral:rRNA from 1 species